AAAUCAAUUACCCUGUUCACGGCGCAAGAAGGCAUAGGCAGAGAACGAAGAGUUGGUUCUGUCCCUUUCCUUGCGUUCCUGAGCCAACCUAAUCAGCAAUUACCAAAAAAGCUUGCUAAGAAUCCCAAUUUAAGCAAUGGACAUUUCCUCUCUUCCAGAAUCCGAACAGCAACACCUCAACCCACAUUUCCAAGAACAAGUUCAGGCCCAGCAAUACCCACAAUACCAAAUUCAAGAUUAUUACUAUCAAA
rnacentral:misc_RNA from 1 species